UAAAAAUACAGACUAUGCUUAACGCAUAGACUUUUGCUUGUCAAUAUAAGGAGCGCCUUGCUCGCGUGUCUUUGUUUCUUUUUCUUUGCACUUCGUUGCCGCCGAACCUCGAGACCUAACCUCGACCCUAACUCGGCUUAAAUCCCGCUGGGGAUUUAUUCUUAGAUCUAUAUCUUUAAUCAUACUUUGCUACAAAUCGAGUCACUGCCCUCGAUUAAUAACGGGCUGACUGAUUACCGGCAUUAACACCGGUGGAGAUCUCCGCCGUUCAUCGGACGAAGAC
rnacentral:misc_RNA from 1 species